rnacentral:rRNA from 1 species
GCUUCCAAUCUAGUGGACGAACGGGUGAGUAAUACAUCGGAACGUACCGUGUAGUGGGGGAUAACGUAGCGAAAGUUACGCUAAUACCGCAUACGAUCCACGGAUGAAAGCAGGGGGACCUUCGGGCCUUGUGCUAUACGAGCGGCCGAUGUCUGAUUAGCUAGUUGGUGAGGUAAAGGCUCACCAAGGCGACGAUCAGUAGCGGGUCUGAGAGGAUGAUCCGCCACACUGGGACUGAGACACGGCCCAGACUCCUACGGGAGGCAGCAGUGGGGAAUUUUGGACAAUGGGCGCAAGCCUGAUCCAGCCAUGCCGCGUGUCUGAAGAAGGCCUUCGGGUUGUAAAGGACUUUUGUCAGGGAGCAAAACUUACUGGUUAAUACCUGGUGAGGUUGAGAGUACCUGAAGAAUAAGCACCGGCUAACUACGUGCCAGCAGCCGCGGUAAUACGUAGGGUGCAAGCGUUAAUCGGAAUUACUGGGCG